UCCAGACUCCUACGGGAGGCAGCAGUCGGGAAUAUUGCACAAUGGAGGAAACUCUGAUGCAGUGACACCGCGUAUAGGAAGAAGGUUUUCGGAUUGUAAACUAUUUUAGACAGGGAAGAAAAAAGACAGUACCUGUAGAAUAAGCUCCGGCUAACUACGUGCCAGCAGCCGCGGUAAUACGUAGGGAGCAAGCGUUAUCCGGAAUUAUUGGGUGUAAAGGGUGCGUAGACGGGACAGCAAGUUAGUUGUGAAAGCCAUCGGCUUAACUGAGGAACUGCAACUAAAACUAUUGUUCUUGAGUGCAGGAGAGGAAAGCGGAAUUCCUAGUGUAGCGGUGAAAUGCGUAGAUAUUAGGAGGAACACCAGUGGCGAAGGCGGCUCUCUGGACUGUAACUGACGUUGAGGCACGAAAGUGUGGGGAGCAAACAGGAUUAGAUACCCUAGUA
rnacentral:rRNA from 1 species